rnacentral:rRNA from 1 species
ACACUCCUGCGGGAGGCAGCAGUAGGGAAUCUUCCACAAUGGGUGCAAACCUGAUGGAGCAAUGCCGCGUGAGUGAAGAAGGUCUUCGGAUCGUAAAGCUCUGUUGUUAGAGAAGAGCACGUGCUAGGUAACUACUAGCGCCUUGACGGUAUCUAACCAGAAAGUCACGGCUAACUACGUGCCAGCAGCCGCGGUAAUACGUAGGUGACAAGCGUUGUCCGGAUUUAUUGGGCGUAAAGGGAGCGCAGGCGGUCUGUUUAGUCUAAUGUGAAAGCCCACGGCUUAACCGUGGAACGGCAUUGGAAACUGACAGACUUGAAUGUAGAAGAGGAAAAUGGAAUUCCAAGUGUAGCGGUGGAAUGCGUAGAUAUUUGGAGGAACACCAGUGGCGAAGGCGAUUUUCUGGUCUAACAUUGACGCUGAGGCUCGAAAGCGUGGGGAGCGAACAGGAUUAGAAACCCCGGUAGUCCCAU